UCCAGCUCAGUAAAUAAAUAAUCAACAUAAUCUAUAUCACAUACACUUAAUACAAUUUCCACCCAAUCACAUAACUUUCCAUGAUAUUCAUAGUUUAGGUAUAAAGUCAUACCAUUCUAUUAAAUUCAUUACAACCAUCAUAGAAGGAAUACAAUUCAACAAUUAUGGUUAGUUCUCACGGCUUGUGGAUCUCCUUUAAUGUGCUGCUCCACCUCAUCCU
rnacentral:lncRNA from 1 species